rnacentral:misc_RNA from 1 species
GGAAGCAAAAUCUAAUGCUUUGAAUAACAUAGAUUUUACUGCCAGGCAUUCUAGUGCCAGACAUAAUCUGGAAACUACUAGUUUUAAGCCUGACAUUAUUAAAUUUUUCAAUGAAAAUCUACAUGAGGUUCCCAAGUCCAUGAACCAAAGGUCUAUGAAUGUACGAUCAAGAGUUGUCGACUCAUUGGAGUUGAUAGAUCAAGAUUAUGUUAUUGUUUCUAGCCCCCCUCUGGAUGUGUCUUCUUCUUCAGCAAGUACUUCCAAACCAAGAAGUAUACCAUACAAA